GGCUGCAGGGACCGGUUGGGUUCGGUUCCGCUCAGUUCUUCAAGCGCUGCUGCCUGGUGCUUUCCUUUGCCCGUAAGCAUUAGUGCAAAGUCCGGACGAACGCUCUGCACCGCGUUCGCGUCCUCAGUCCGCUGGCGCCGUGUGACCUUGGGCAGGUUGCAUAAUCUUACCUUCCCAGGUGGCUCAAAUGCAAAAUGGGAUGGUAAAAUCCAAAUUGGCGCCAAGCUGUAAGGCUCGUGCCACAGAGCAGGCUGUCAACAAACACCAUCUGUUUCCGCUCAUGGCACUGUUGACUCUGGAUAGAUUGAGAAGUAGCUUUAAAUGGUGACUAGGAUGUUGGCUGACAUCGCCACCCAGAUUCAGAGGACUCUGACAACUGUUUGCCUUAACAGCGUCUUCCCUGUCUCAUCAGAACCAAGGGUAGAGGAGCCUCAGAUUUCCUGAUGGAAGGUUCUCCAGGCUCCGCUGUUGAAGGAUAGAUGUGCUCUGCUCUCACUGAAGGAAGCUAACGAGAUAAUCUGCCCAGUGCAAGAGUGUCUCUGCCUUAAGAGGAGGGGGGAGCUUCCCAAAUGGCCUUUACCCCGGGCUGCUGCUUUGUCCCCUGUUUGGGAGGCCAGCGGCCUGGGCUCUGGCACACAACACUUAUCAGAAGCGAGAACCCAGGAUGCAGUGAUUAAGGAAGAUACUUUGUGUCUACUUCUCAUAAGCAGCCUUUUGAAACAGCUGAUGCUGUAGACACCCUAAUGCCUGAGCAUAGCGCAACUACAUUACUCUGCAUUCUUCACUCCUGUUGAAUUUAACGAGGGGAAGGCCAAAUGCACAUCAGCUUGUGCACUGCCCUCUUAACUCUGCGUUAGAGUGGCGUCUUCCCACGUGAGCAGCGUCCAGGACGCUCAUUAGGAAGAAUCCCAGGCCUCAGAUAUCCUGAAGCUGACUGCUGUGUGCACUAAAAUCUGUGAAGCCCUGCACUAACUUGUGGGGUAAUCUGGUGAUCGAAACUAUGUGGUGGCAUGGAAAAUUUAAGGAGAGACAAGCGGCACAGAGCCAGAAUCCGGGAAGGGGGUGGCAAAGCCGUGCUUUUCUGCGUUUGGGCACCGCCAGCAGGUUGAUGCGGAAGACAGAUGAAAAGUUCGUCACUGGGCAGCCUGGAUGAACGCGACUACGUGACCCACUUCUUAAAGCACAGAUGAGAUCACCUGUUUGACUGCAGCUGCUGGUGAGAGAGAUCCCACCAAAUGAGCGUGUCAGCAAUAUGAGACUCCUUUGAACGAGACAGGCCAGGCUGCUGGGGCCCUGUGAACGUGCCUUGCGUAUUCAGGGUAUUCUGGCACCCAGAGGGUGCUCCUUCCCUGUUCUUCCAAAGUCUGACAUUCCGGGCCUCUCCUGUCUGUACCCAACAGUGACGUUUUGUGUCUUCAUCCGGUUGAAGAGGCUGGCAUGCAAAGAACCUGGCCGAGUCCUUCCUAGAGCCCACGUUACACACGCCAGACCACGGCGAAGACUGAUGCCUCCAUCCCGGGCAUGCUCAUUCAAAUGCGCUCUAAUACUCCGUGAUGAUUCCAGGUUCUCCACAGAGUCACCCAUCAGCAGGUCCCGAGCAUGCAGAUAACUGAUAUACUUUUAAAUAUACAGCUAAGAAAGCAACCCUCAGCUUGUGGGCCCAGGCCCUUCGAAGUCUGUAAAUCUCUCCUUCCUAGAGACCCCCAUGACAAGACCUCACCCGGGAGAUUUCAAAGGCUGGCUCCCACCAAGUCUGCAAAUGACUUUUCUGUAGGCAGCAGUUGGAACAGCUCACAGCACCUAGUAAAACUUGUGCAUAUAUUUUCCUAAAAUAUCUAAAGCAAAAUUCUUAUGUUUCCCUCCACUACUAGACAUGGUGGUGUCUGUGUUAAAAUAGAGUAGCAGACAGACCCAUUUGCUGACUGUCUGAACGGGAGCUCUUGGUGAAUAAAGCUUAGCCUAAAAAAGAUAUUGUCCCAUUAUGUGUCUUUAUAAACGUGUCUGUCUGUCUGUCUGUCUGUGUGCACAAAUAUUCACUCCUAGAGAAGAAUACAUUUAGGGAAAAUGAUUUGCACCUGACUUGAGUACUGGCCAACUACAGAAAGGCUGUCACCUCAUCCAUGUAGGUCCCAUCUCUCCACAAAAUGUGGUCAGGUUUCCAGGGACAUUUCUUGCUUUGAAAAUUCUCCACAUGGCCUUUGAAUUGUGAGUGGUCUCUCUUGGGACAGACAGAUGAAAAUAAGGUUUAUUAAAGAAAGCUACAACAUUCUUACAUAACACGUUGUCAAACAGAGUGAAGAAAAAUCGUCUGUGACUAUUUCUGUGUGUGCAAAAUUUGUCACCCAUGAUUUUUUUUCUACUUCAUAUCUGGAUAUCAGCGUCAACCCAACAUUCUCUAUUUUUUUCUCCAGGUUUCCCCAGGGGAAAAAAUGCCCUUCCAGUAAAGGGGCUGUCAGAACGUCCUUGCUCUGGAAAGCCAUCCGUCAGGCUUUCUUUCAAACUUGUAGGAAGUGGCAGUAGAUUGAUGACCUCUGAUCUGCUGCGUGUCAGGAGGAAAUGUGGCGGGAAAAGGUGGUAACGUGGGACGCAGGAAGGAAGUGGAGGCCGUGGCCUCUGAGGGGCCGCUGGGGGCCCCGUAAGACAGGUCGGUCACACCUGGUAUCGAUUCUCAUCUUCCACCGCUCUUUCCCAUGAACAGGCUCUUCCACCAGCGUGGUCAGCUCCCUGGAGCCGGCUUUCUGGCCUCCGAGGCUGUUAGCGUCGCAUCCCAUGUACGCAGCGUGACUCCCACACCCCUACACCAGGCCCAAGCCCAGGGCCUCCUCACCACACAGGGUUUCAUGGUUGGCGGGACAUGGGCCCCUUCUUCAAUGAAAUUAAGAAAACGCGAGACUUCCUACAUUGAUAUUCAGUUCACAACCAAUAUGUCAACACACGGCCAGGUAGGUCCCUGUUACUCGUUUCUCAAAAUACACGUGGGUUACUUGGGCGCCUGUUUACCUAGACUCGAAGUAUCAUCUGAUGAUUUGACAUCUCAGUUCUAAGUAACUCUUCAUGGGAAUGCUAAGGCCAGAUACAGUAUGCCAGUAAAGCUCUGUCAUAAUCCCUUCCACAGGAUGAGAAGGGAGCCCAGGGAGGGAGCGGUUCUCAUUACAAAAGGAAUCUGUGGACCCUCUUCAAAGUCCACAGCCCUGGCAUGAGUUUGGGGAGCCUCUAUACCUCAUUUGAUAUCACAGUCAAGUGGGGCUAAUAUUUAUCUUCUUCAAGUUAUGCUCUCUGACAUGCUCCACAUACUCAUGUGUAAUCAGUAUUUGCAGCAUGCUUUAAGUUCCUAAGAUUCCCGCCCAAACCAGAUUUGUAGCAAAGGAUAGUUUGAAUACAGUGAGCUUUGGAGGACUCUGCAGUUUUACGUCUGGGGAACACUUCAAAGGCAAAGCUAAGAACACACAUGUCUACAGUGAUCAGAAAGCUCCCUCUGUGUCUCCUUUUAUAUCUAUUUGCUGGGGAUUUUGUGUACACAUUGUGACUCAUUCAUUUCCAAGGGUCUCAGAUCCUUAAAACUAGAAGGAUUGAAUGAGAUUUUAUCUUUAGUAUUGCUCCCAGUUUAUGUAUUCAUGACUUGAUUGGGAACAUUGAAAAAUUCUAAACUGAUUUGGAAUAUAAAGCAUUCAUUCUUAUCAGAUAAUACACCUCUCCUUCCAAACCCCAUGGUUUCAAGAACUAAUCUGAGUAUUUCAUCUUUUGCAGAAUAUUUAAAAAUGACAUACGACUUUAGCAAAUCCAAUAUGGUUGACAUUUGACACUGCUAUAAUACGAAGAUCUAAAGAUGCAUUUUUUUAAUUGUCCCA